GUCAAUAUCGGACGCGCGGAUGCCUCGCCUGAAAUGGGCACUUAGGGUGAGGCGGAGCGAGUAGUGCAACCGACCGACCCCAGU
rnacentral:ncRNA from 2 species